rnacentral:rRNA from 1 species
GGGGGGAUGCAUGGGCGAGCCUGAUGCAGCGACGCCGCGUGAGGGAUGACGGCCUUCGGGUUGUAAACCUCUUUCAGCUCUGACGAAGCUUUUUGUGACGGUAGGAGCAGAAGAAGCACCGGCUAACUACGUGCCAGCAGCCGCGGUAAUACGUAGGGUGCGAGCGUUGUCCGGAAUUAUUGGGCGUAAAGAGCUUGUAGGCGGCUUGUCGCGUCUGCUGUGAAAGCCCGGGGCUUAACUCCGGGUCUGCAGUGGGUACGGGCAGGCUAGAGUGUGGUAGGGGAGACUGGAAUUCCUGGUGUAGCGGUGGAAUGCGCAGAUAUCAGGAGGAACACCGAUGGCGAAGGCAGGUCUCUGGGCCAUUACUGACGCUGAGAAGCGAAAGCGUGGGGAGCGAACAGGAUUAGAUACCCUGGUAGUCCACGCCGUAAACGUUGGGCGCUAGGUGUGGGUCCCAUUCCACGGGGUCCGUGCCGCAGCUAACGCAUUAAGCGCCCCGCCUGGGGAGUACGGCCGCAAGGCUAAAACUCAAAGGAAUUGACGGGGGCCCGCACAAGCGGCGGAGCAUGCGGAUUAAUUCGAUGCAACGCGAAGAACCUUACCAAGGCUUGACAUACACCGGACGACUGCAGAGAUGUGGUUUCCCUUUGGGCUGGUGUACAGGUGGUGCAUGGUUGUCGUCAGCUCGUGUCGUGAGAUGUUGGGUUAAGUCCCGCAACGAGCGCAACCCUCGUUCCAUGUUGCCAGCAGCACCUUUGGGUGGCUGGGGACUCAUGGGAGACUGCCGGGGUCAACUCGGAGGAAGGUGGGGAUGACGUCAAAUCAUCAUGCCCCUUACGUCUUGGGCUUCACGCAUGCUACAAUGGCCGGUACAAAGGGCUGCGAUCCCGUGAGGGGGAGCGAAUCCCAGAAAGCCGGUCUCAGUUCGGAUUGGGGUCUGCAACUCGACCCCAUGAAGUCGGAGUCGCUAGUAAUCGCAGAUCAGCAACGCUGCGGUGAAUACGUUCCCGGGCCUUGUACACACCGCCCGUCAAGUCACGAAAGUCGGUAACACCCGAAGCCGGUGGACCCACCUUGUGAGGGAGCUGUCGAAGUGGGACUGGUGAUUGGGACUAAGUCGUAACAAGGGUAAUCCA